rnacentral:rRNA from 1 species
AUUGAACGCUGGCGGCAGGCCUAACACAUGCAAGUCGAACGAGUGGCGGACGGGUGAGUAAUGUCUGGGAAACUGCCCGAUAGAGGGGGAUAACUACUGGAAACGGUAGCUAAUACCGCAUACUAUCAGAUGUGCCCAGAUGGGAUUAGCUUGUUGGUGGGGUAACGGCUCACCAAGGCCACGAUCCCUAGCUGGUCUGAGAGGAUGACCAGCCACACUGGAACUGAGACACGGCCCAGACUCCUACGGGAGGCAGCAGUGGGGAAUAUUGCACAAUGGGCGCAAGCCUGAUGCAGCCAUGCCGCGUGUAUGAUGAAGGCCUUCGGGUUGUAAAGUACUUUCGGCAGAGAGGCGGUAUCCGCAGAAGAAGCACCGGCUAACUCCGUGCCAGCAGCCGCGGUAAUUC